rnacentral:tRNA from 1 species
CAAAAAAUAGUUUAAAAAAUACUAAUUUUGGAGAUUAGAGAUAUAAUUAUUUUAUUUUUUUGA